UACGGAGGAGGCAAGCGUUAUCCGGAAUUAUUGGGCGUAAAGCGUCCGCAGGUGGCGAUUCAAGUCUGCGGUCAAAGACUGGGGCUUAACCCUGGAAAGGCCGUGGAAACUGAAAAGCUAGAGUGCAGUAGGGGUAGAGGGAAUUCCCGGUGUAGCGAUGAAAUGCGUAGAGCUCGGGAAGAACAUCGGUGGCGAAAGCGCUCUGCUGGACUGCAACUGACGCUCAGGGACGAAAGCUAGGGGAGCGAAUGGG
rnacentral:rRNA from 1 species